GACGAACGCUGGCGGCGUGCCUAAUACAUGCAAGUCGAACGCAGUGGGGGCGGGUGAGUAACACGUGGGUAACCUCCCAUCAGAGGGGAUAACACUUGGAAACAGGUGCUAAACCGAUAUUGGUGGAUGGACCCGCGGUGCAUUAGCUAGUUGGUGAGGUAACGGCGCACCAAGGCCACGAUGCAUAGCCGACCUGAGAGGGGGAUCGGCCACACUGGGACUGAGACACGGUCCAGUCUCCGACGGGAGGCAGCAGUAGGGAAUCUUGGGCAAUGGGCGAAAGUCUGACCUAGCAACGCCGCGUGAGUGAAGAAGGUUUUCGGAUCGUAAACCUCUGUUGUUAGAGAAGCGGUAUCUAACCAGAAAGCCACGGCUAACUACGUGCCAGCAGCCGCGGUAAUUC
rnacentral:rRNA from 1 species